rnacentral:lncRNA from 1 species
CCCCAUCCGUCUUCUCCAACCAAGGUUAGUUCUUGAUUCUUAAUACUCCCAAGCAUAAGGAGAAGCAAAAAUACCUUGUCCCUGUGUUGAGGGUAAGAGUCGAGUCUGAUUCACCUGUGGAACCCCAGCCCGGAGCAGGAGGAGCUCAGGAAAUGCGUGGAGGACGAAUGAAUGAAGAUGGCACAGACUCUGGAGCCCAGAAAGUCACCACCGCUCGCCCAGGACUUCUAGUGGGUAGGCAUCAAACUGCAAGUGCGAGAUUCUCUUUCUCAGUGAAGUGAAUUCAACGGUGACCAUGAGUCCUAAAGGCCAGGGGUACGGCGACAGCGACUUGGCAGUGGCAGGGCCACCAUCUUCCGUGUGGUCAUGGACGGAGAAGCUGAGGGAGGCGCGCCCGAUGAGGGGUGGGGGCAGACGGGCCUGUAGCCAGGCUCCUGACUGCUGCCUGCUCCUGACUCUUGGCUGUGGAUUUCUGAAAAUUGUC